CUUCCCUCUCCAAUAGCGUAUAUUAAAGUUGUUGUGGUUAAAAAGCUCGUAGUUGGAUCUCGGCGGUCUGAGGGCGGUUCGCUUCAGAGCGCUACUGCCCUAUAGACCGUAGUUUUGCCAGAGGUCUCAGGGUGCUCUUAACCGAGUGUCUUGCGAUGCUGGCAGGUUUACUUUGAAAAAAUUAGAGUGCUCAAAGCAGGCUUUUACGCCUGAAUAUUCGUGCAUGGAAUAAUAGAAUAGGAAGUCGUUUCUAUUUUGUUGGUUUUCGGAAAUCGACUUAAUGAUUAAUAGGGACAGUCGGGGGCAUUUGUAUUCAAACGACAGAGGUGAAAUUCUUGGACCGUUUGAAGACAAACUACUGCGAAAGCAUUUGCCAAGAAUGUUUUCAUUA
rnacentral:rRNA from 1 species